ensembl:lncRNA
AUGUAUGUGACUAAUUGCUGCUGCUCUUUUCUCACUUGGCCUGUGUCGGGCGGAGGGUCUGCAUGGAGAAUUCAACUGAAGCGAAUCGGGAGCAGCUCUACUCUGCGACUCAUAUCUCAGUCGACUUUGAAAGAGUCUACUUCUUCUGCAAAUGGAGAGUUCAACACAACAAAGACACGACUGUUGCUGUCAGUCAUCCAGCUGGAGACAGGACUCACUUCCAAAGCAAAGAAAGGAUUUUCUGCAGAACUCCCGAUGCAAAGCCCAAAGACAGCUAACCCCUUCUUCAGGACCAAGAACAGGUUAACUCCAGGCAGUCACUGCCCUUUGUCACCUGGCUACUCACUGGCGAGUCACUCAUGAACCAGAGACUCCCAAAACCCUCCCACUAACCCAGGGGUCUGCAACCUUUUGUAUCAAAAGAGCCAUUUUGGCCCAUCUCCCGCAAAAAUUUUUUUUUUGGAGCCGCAAACUUUUUAAUUCACCCCCUCCCCCCUCCGGAGACGCUAACGCUGCGCACCGCACAGACAUUUUUUGUGACACUCUGUAAAAAAAUAACAUAAAUCUUUAGCUGUCAUGUGGCAUCAGGGAGUAGCCUACAGUACAGUAGACUACAGUAGCCAGUCAGCAGCGUCAACCGUUGACGUUCUACGUGAUCGGUCAUGGCCAGCAAUGUAAACAAGGAAUAGAUAGCAUAGCAUAGCGAUACAAUAGUCAAGUAAUGAAAAAACUGUAAGGACCUUUAUUAUCAAAAUAUAACGUACUGAAACUUUAAUAUUCAACACAAGAACUUUAAUGCUGUAAACCCUUCUCGCUCAGUAUUCGUUCGUGCAAUUGGCUGUCAACGGUGGAUGCUGCUGAUUGGCGGCUCACUGGCAUGUCCCGCCUCCUGCCAAUGGCAGCAUCUAGGCUACUUCCUGAUGCCAGAUGCCAGUUAAAGAUUUAACUCCUACUGGGAUUAGCCAACUGCAAAUCAACGAAGCUUUGUCAUUCACUCCCCCCCUCACGGUAGCGCAAUUGCGCAUCCAUUGCGACCUCUCGUUUAGUUGACGAUAUAUAUCAAAAUAUAUAUAUAAUUUUUUUUUUUUUUUUUUUUUUUUUAAGAAAACUGCAGGGAGCCACGGCUGAGGGGCUAAAGAGCCGCAUGCGGCUCCGGAGCCGCAGGUUGCCGACCCCUGCACUAACCACAUACACACACACGUGUCGCAUGCUCAGCCGUCCUGGUAGGGGAUCUCUCUUUGACUUGGCCUACCUAAAGGUUUCUCCUUUUUCCCCUAAUAAGGGUUUUAAAGAGUUUUUCCUUUAAUGCUUGGAGAGUCUAAGGCUGAUGAUGCAAGACACACAAAUGUGUAAUAGUCUGAUGGGACCCAAAGUUGAGCUUUGUUUUCAUGUUAGUUUUAUGCUUUGAUAUUUUCAUGAACCUAUAAGAUUGUAAUAAAAUGUAAAUGAAGUGACUAAAAAAUGUAUCAUGUCUGAAUAACCAAGAGGUACGUGGGCAUUACAAAUGGUUUGACUCAAAGGUUUACAUGGUGGAGCAUGUCGUAGCAACUCAAGUAAUCAACUGAGUGUGAGGGAGCUAUUUCUGUAGGUCCAAGCUUAUUGGAACCUCACAUCUUGUGCGCAUUAUUCAACAUUUCCAAACUUUUCAAAGUCUUCAUAUUCAUUUGUUAAUUCAAUUUAGCUUCAGUUCUUCUAAAUUCAGAAUCAUUCAAUUGUUCAGUCCCAUUCAUUCGUAAUUAUUAUAAUUCCUAGAUUCAGUGUCUUCAUUCUAUAGACUUCAUUCUACCUUCAAAAUGUUCAACAGAUUUCCUAGAUUCAGGGCAUUGAUUCAACCUUCAACUUCAGCAGUAGAGCGGAGCAUUUCAGCGUCAGCAGACUUUAGCAGUAUUACUUCAGAACCCUUCAACUCAUUCAUAAUUCAUUCUACAGACUUCAAUCUACAUUCAAAAGAUUCAGCAGAUUUCCUGGAUUCAGUGUAUUGAUUCAACAUUCAGCUUCAGAUUUGUUAAUUCAAUUUAGCUUCAGUUCUUCUAAAUUCAGAAUCAUUCAAUUGUUCAGUCCCAUUCAUUCAUAAUUAUUAUAUUUCCUAGAUUCAGUGUCUUCAUUCUACAGACUUCAUUCUACCUUCAAAAUGUUCAUCAGAUGUCCUAGAUUCAGUGUCUUCAUUCUACAGACUUCAUUCUACCUUCACAAUGUUCAUCAGAUUUCCUAGAUUCAGCGUCUUCAUUCUACAGGCUUCAUUCUACCUUCAAAAUGUUCAGCAGAUUUCCUAGAUUCAGGGUAUUGAUUCAACAUGCAGCUUCAGCAGUAGAGCGGAGCAUUUCAGCGUCAGCAGACUUUAGCAUUCAACUCAUUCAUAGUUCAUUCUACAGACUUCAUUCUACAUUCAAAAUGUUCAGCAGAUGUCCUAGAUUCAUUGCAACGAUUCUUCAACGUGCAGCUUCAGCAGUAGAGCGGAGCAUUUCAGCGUUAGCAUUCACACCGCAAUACCUUCAGGGAUUGCAAUUCUAGUUAUAAUUAUUCCGCCACUUUUUCUGCGAGCAACUCCUUCAACAGACUUCAACGUAGAAACAUCAUUCAAACAUUAAAACGUUCAGCUCCAUUAGUAGUAUUAUGCUAUUAUUUUUCUCAUUGAUAUUAUUCAUAAUUCCCGAGAUAUUCAACUUUAUUCACCGAAAAUUGCCCCAUUCACUCCCAUUCAAAAUUCAAAAAACGCUGAUUCACCCUUCAUCCGAUUCAACACUUCCAACAUUCAAACCUUCAUAACUUGGUCAAAUUUCAACCGUUUACCAUCAUUCAAAUAAUUAAACAGAUCUACACAUUUGUAUCUUCAAUAAUCUUCAAACAGAAUUUCGAUAUCAUUUAUAGUUUUUUCAGAUUCACAGUUUUAGUUUUAAUUCCGGAUUCGUUUUCAGUUGCUCUCACUCUAACCGUUUGCCAUGGCAACAGCUCGUUGACCAAUCAGUGGUCUCCAACAGUCGAUAUUCAAAUGAGGCAGAUUCAUCCUUGACUCGAUUCAACCCUUCCAACAUUCAAACCUUCAUAACUUCGUCAAAUUUCAACCGUUUACCAUCAUUCAAAGAAUUAAACGGAUCUACACAUUCGGAUCUUCAAUAAUAUUCAAACAUAAUUUCGAUAUCAUUUAUAGUUUUUUCAGAUUCACAGUUUUAGUUUUAUUUUUAUUAUAAAUAUUCCGGCACUUUUUCGCAACGUGACUCCUUCAACAUACUUCAACGUACAAACAUCAUUCAAACAUUAAAACGUUCAGCUCCAUUAGGAAUAGUGUGCUAUUAUUUUUCUUAUUGAUAUUGUACGUAAUUCCCGAGAUAUUCAACGUUAUUCACCGAAAAUUCCCCCAUUCAUUCCUAUUGGAAAAUUAAAAAAACGCUGAUUCAUCCUUCAUCCUAUUCCAACACUUCCAACAUUCAAACCUUCACAACUUGGUCAAAUUUCAACCGUUUACCAUCAUUCAAAGAAUUAAACAGAUCUACACAUUUGUAUCUUCAAUAAUAUUGAAACAGAAUUUUGAUAUCAUUUAUAGUUUUUUCAGAUUCACAGUUUUAGUGUCAAACCGUCAUAUUCUACAGUUUGUCCCAUUGAGGCAGUCUGCCCAUUCUGGCACUUCAAUUACUAAAGACAUUGUAACUAAAUCAUUUUUCAGCCGUUUACCAUCGCUGAAACAAUUAAACAAAUGUAGACAUUUGUAUCUUCAAUAAUAUCUAAACGAAAUUUCGAUAGCAUUUAAACUUUCUCCAGAAUCACAGUUCUGGUUUGACACCGGAUUAGUUUUCAGUUGGUUUCAUUUAUUUCCGUUGACAUUCAGGCAGUCUCCCUUAACCACACACACACACACACACACACACACACACACACACACACACACACACACACACACACACACACACACACACACACACACACACACACACACACACACACACACACACCGGCUGUAUGUGUCUCACCGGCUUGGUGAGACACAUACACACACUCACACACAGAUAACAUCGGCCGGGUGAAACACACGCACACACACACACACACACACACACACACACACACACACACACACACACGCGCAAACACACACACGCACACGCAAUCCGAUUUUAACAUUUGGAACUCUGUUCAAAUCCCUCACUUGAAUAAAGCUAUUCAACAUUUAUACUGCUCCUCCUACCACUACUACCAUUAGCCGGCAGACUAAAUGAAGAAUGCGUUAUGUAAAAUUGAGGACAGUGUUAACUCUCACUGUUUCUCAAACACGCACGGGAAGGCACAUUUUAUUUGUUUGGCUGAAUCCGAAUACUCAUACUUGACUGCUAUAUAGUAUGCAUUUUGUAGUACGCCACAAAUAUAGUGCGUCCAAAUGCUCCGUACGCAUUGUGUAGUACGGAAAACGUUUCCGAAUGCGUACUACCGCCACAGUAAACAAUGGAGUUCACAACGCUAUCCCACAAUGCAACCGGAGUGUGGUAACGAACGAAGAGAUCCGACACCACCAUCUGAGGGGAUAUACGUCAUCUCCAAAACAUCCGGUGGAGUUUCGGCGAUGUUCGGAAGCGUUCCAACUUCCAAGCAUAGCUGUAGACCGUACUACACUGUUAAGUGUACCGUCAAGUAGUAGACACUGAAGGGCUUUCUUACCUUUUCAUAAGAUAACUUUUGCUCCACAUGGGACAUUGUAGAGAGCGGAUCCUUGGUUUGAUCACUUGUAUGAAAGUAUAAUAUACUGUACAUUGUACGCUGUUUUGUGUAGUUAUACUGUAUAUAGUAUGGGUAGAUUUGUACUUUGAGUUUAUGCCAAAAAGCACCAACUUUGUUUUGGUAACAAUAUAUAAUUGUGAGAUUCAAUUUCCGUUUGACUUUGUUGUCCCAUCAUAAGUUUUUACUUUCAAACGAUAUCACCGCAGCACAAAUACUCAUGACAGCCCAGGUUUUCCUGAAAGCAUGUUUGAAGCCUGUCUUUGCAUUACAGGGUUGAUAUUAUAGCCACAAACAUGCAAUGAAUCCAGAGGAUAUACCAUUUACGAUUCAUAUCAACACAUCAAUAAACACUUCAGUUUAGUCAGAAAACUGGAUUUAUUAAAA